UCCAUCUUACCCACUAAAUACAACUGUCCAAGUGUAACAUCAGCAAUCACAUAGGCAACAGCACAAUGAUGCCUAGUAGUGUAUCACAGGAAAUGGGCUACCUGACGAAGGAGCUAAUAUAAUCCAAACUUCAGUACAGGAGUGUAAAGGGAUCUAAGGUGAAGUGUGGACACAAUGUCUAGCAUAGGACCAUUGCCUUAAAUCAUCAUGGACAUUUUAAGGAAUCACAAGUCUACACUGUGCCGACAAGCGCCGUUGCCCCGUGGUUUGAGAGCUCAGGCUUUCUGUUUUCCAUGAAAGAAAGGCAGGAGCCUGGGAAUCAGAACAGAUGACAGAAGUCCACAGGCGUUUUUAAGUGCUGACCUGAACAGCGAACCAUUCUUCCACGUCUCUGCGGUUGUUGGCGAGCACUGUUUCAUACUGACAGCGCAUCUCAUUCAAGACCCCGUUGAGGUCGAUGUUGGGGGCACUGUCUAGCUCCACAGUGAGUCGGUCACCAAGCUGUCCACGGAGCAAGUUGAUCUCCUGAAAGUGGAAAUGAAGUAAGCAAUGUCACAGCGUGGUGGGGGAAAAAUCACUUCGGAUCCAUGGCAUCACGUUUUCGUUUUGGAGAGGAGUGAGUGAGAGUGUGGGAUUUAGAUUCAGAUUGCCUAUGUUGAAUCUCGCCAUCACGCAGUUUCUUCAUCUGCAAAAUGGGUAUAAAAUUUUACCUGUUCCAGAGAGUUAUUGUGAGAUAUAUGAGUUAAUAUGUAUAUAAAACACUUGUAAAAGUCCUCGGUAUAUAGGAAGAUCUUAAUAAAUGCUAGCUGCUAUUAUCAUCGACAGAUGUUCAAGGGGAAAAUGCACUUUGUUACACCAUUUAGCUUUUCACUUGUUAGCUUCAUCAAUAUAGGACAAUCAUAUACUUUAUAUUUUAUGAUUUUUAAAAAGUUGAUAGAUGCAGAACAUUUUUUAAAAUAUUGGUUCAAAUAUUGCAUGAGUAUUUAUCCCCUUUUUGAAAUGGCCUUCACACGCUGAGUUUAUCAGCCUGGUUUUCAUACCUUAUGGAUUAGAGUUAGGCGAGGUAUAAAGCCUCUAAGAACAGCCAUUUGUGGAGUUACCUUCUCCACAAAAGCAAUGGCAGGUGAAGAGUUUGGUUUCUUCAUCUAGCUCUGGCCAGGGGUCAUUUUACAGCUACAUUCAGAGACACACAGGAAUGAUCAGGCCAAACAGUAACCGUGCCUUGAGUAAAUUUGUUCCAGCUUUAGCAACAUUUACCCAAGUUCAGCUUAUAGACACACGUGGACUUGGUCAGUUUAGUUUGUCACACAUUCUUUCAGUGACUUUGCCACUUGCCUCACCUCUUCAUGGUGUUUCUUAAGGCAAAGGAGAUCCUCCUUCAGGGACUCCACCUGGGCCUCCAGAUCGGCUUUGCACAGGGUCAGCUCGUCCAGGAUCCCUCGUAGGCCGCCAAUGUCUGUCUCUACCAGCUGGCGAAGAGACAGCUCCGACUCGUACCUUUCACAGGAAACAACCAGCCAAUGCCUAUUUUCCUAGACACUGUGCCGAGUGCUAGGGCAUACUGACGAAUGACAGGUGGACUCAAGGAAGCCAGGAGCUGUAAUUUCUUUUACAUCCCAAAUAAUGAUAAAUUGGAGCUUUGUGAACAUUCUUAACUUAAAAAAUAUUAUAUAAACAUAUGUGAUGUGUUUGUGUGUGUGUGUGUGUGAGUGAGAGAGAGAGAGAGAGAGAGAGAAACCGUAAAUUAUAUUCAAAUUUAAAUUAAACUUACUUUGACCUAAAGUCAUUGGCCGCCAGUUUGCAGUUGUCAAGCUGUAUAGUGAGUCUAGAAUUCUCUGCCUUCGUGCACAAAAUCUGGAAGGUAAGUUAAGUAAUAAGUGGUUCUUUGAAACAAACAUAAAUAUCUACACAUUUAACAGCUCUGCCAUGGUUUACCUUUUAAAAGCCUUUGUAAGAAAGUAUAACAUAGCUUUUAGCCUGCUUUUCUCAUUGACCAUGUCACUGCGUGAAGAAAAAAGGAGUGCCAAUUUGCAAACGAAACAGACAAAAGGCUUAGUUUUGUAAUGACCCAAGACAUCUGCAAUAUUCCUUGGCAGCUGAACUCAGUUAUACUUUUCUCCAUAAGUCGUUUCUAUUAUGACUAUAUCCCAUCUAUGAUAAUAAAAAAUCAUCAGUAAGAAAAUUAUUACUAGGUGAAAUAAUAUGAUUUAAAAUAUGACAUUUCAAUAUCUAUGUUAAAAAUAAUACGGGUAUACAGUGUUACCUACAGAAGUAAUUUUACAUAUAGCACAAUUUUCCCUCAUUCUGUAGAUGAUAAAGUCUAGAGGUACGUGAGCUUAUUGUGGUCACUCAGUAAUUAGUGGCAGCCCUGGGGUAAGUUGUGUCCCGACUUUCAGUCCAGUGCCCUUUCCUCUGCAUCACAGCGCCACCUGGAAGUCCCUUUCCCCCGGUUUCCUUCUAGAGCCUCUUCUAGUGUAAAGGGAGAGCUGAUCACAGAUUGGCAAAGUGGAGCAUUAGGACAAGAAGACACCAGACCUUUCGUUGGAGAUCUUCAAUGGUGUCGAAGUAACACUGAUAAUCGGGGCACACCAAUGGGAUGUCCCCUCCACACUGUUCUCGGAUCCUGCAUUCCAGCUCGGCAUUC